UUGUGCAGUAAAUUGUCUAUUUUGCCCCUCUUUCAUUUUUGUUUGCAGCUGUUGCUCUCAUUUGAAAGGUGCUUUUUGGUGUUUUUGGUUGAGCUUUGGCCACGUUGUGUUUUAUAGUAAAGAUGCCGGAAGCAUCUUCGACUUUUUCUUUUCCUCUUCUGUUUUCUUUCUGUCGUUCCGUUUCUCUUUAGUUUUCCCGUCUGUCUUUUGAUUUCGGUUCCGAUCGGAUCUUCUCGAAGGUGUUUGGCGUUUUUUCCCCUGUUUUGCACAAAUGAAUCGCUCCCGUUCAGGUCUGAGCAUUCUGGUUAGCAGGCCCGCUUAGUUGAAUCAGCUAAGUUUCAUGUCUGACAUCGACGUACUGCUUCCACUGCCUUUGAUUAAGAUUUUUUGGCGAGAGAAUCAAGUUCAAAAUUCAAUUGAGGUUGCAUUUGCAAAGGGAGAAAAACAUCUUAGAUAGUUUUUGUGCUUAUGAAACAUUUGAGGGAAAAAAAAAAAGCUAAUUCAGCAAGGGAUUUACAACGUUGACAAAUACAUUUUCAAGCAAUGAAGACACAAAUAUUCAAAGUGCAACGGGGCUCUGUACCUUUGCUGAUGUUUCUGGCCGGUUGGUUGGGCGGCUUCCUCUAAUGGGGUACGCUUCUGUUAUUUUGUUAUAUGUUCUUUUGCCAUUCAUUCACUCAAAAUUCCAAAAAUCGAAUAUAGUAAAAUAGUAGGUCAAAUUCAUUAAUGUUAUCUUAACUUCUGUUUAAUAGAUUUAUAUUGUUGCAUGUUUGAUUUUAUUUUAUUUUUUUAAUUUAUUUAUUUUUUUUGCAUGUUUGAUUUUAUGAAUUUUUGCUGUUUGUUUUGUUAAUUGCAGAUUUAUAGUGUUUGAUUGAUUUCGGUGAGGGUGAGUUGUUAAGUUUUCCUUUAUUUAUUCAUGUUGUUUUAUAAAUGAUUACAUGUUCUAUAUCUAAUUUCACUAACUCUUCGGGUGUAUUUUUCACAGUGGUUGUUCAUUUUUUCUGUUAUCAGUGCUUACCACUUGUUUGAGAAUAUGUAUUAAAUUGGCCUUUUUUUAGAUUAUUGAUAUGUUUUGGAUGUUUUUUGGUUUGUCGUGUGUAAGAAUGUGAAAUCAACUAUAUAAGGUAGUCAAUUUCAAUAUAGCAGUAGCAGCUGCAGGAACUACAACAGUAGCAGCUGCUGGGAUUCUAGAUGGAUGAAGAGGAGUGGGGUUAUAUUGAAGUCAGACCCAAGCGCAUAUGUUCUGCUGUUCAAGCCAAAUGGCCAACCACUCUCUAGCAUCAAAGUGGACCAGUGAGUAUUACCAAACUUUAUCAAAUCAAAUAAUAUGAACAACUCAUCUUCUUUUCAACAUAUUUUUCCGACAUUUUUUUCAUGUAUCAAUGAUUAUUUUUCCAAAAUUUGAACCCAAGAAUCUAAAUGUGUUAC